rnacentral:rRNA from 1 species
AGCUCCAAUAGCGUAUAUUUAAGUUGUUGCAGUUAAAAAGCUCGUAGUUGGAUUUUGGGUAUGGCAGACCGGUCCGCCGUUUCGGUGUGCACUGGUAGGCCGUAUCUUUCUGUCGAGGACGCUCUCUUGGCCUUUACUGGUCGGGAAGCGGAGUCGGCGACGUUACUUUGAAAAAAUUAGAGUGUUCAAAGCGGGCCUACGCUUGAAUAUAUUAGCAUGGAAUAACAUUAUAGGACUCCUGUCCUAUUCUGUUGGUCUUCGGGAUGGGAGUAAUGAUUAAGAGGAACAGUUGGGGGCAUUCGUAUUUCAUUGUCAGAGGUGAAAUUCUUGGAUUUAUGAAAGACGAACUUCUGCGAAAGCAUUUGCCAAGGAUGUUUUAA